UACGACUACAUAUCAGGCAUAUCAAUAAGCGGAGGAAAAGAAACUAACUAGGAUUCCCUCAGUAACGGCGAGUGAAGCGGGAAGAGCUCAAAUUUGAAAUCUUCAAGGGUUUACCUUUACGAAUUGUAGUUUAAAGAAGUGUUUUCUGUUGGAGUUUCGGUAAAAGUUCUUUGGAAUAGGACAUCAUAGAGGGUGAGAAUCCCGUAUUUGACCAGUUACUUCCAGCUGUUGUGAUACACUUUCAAAGAGUCGGAUUGUUUGGGAAUGCAGUCCAAAAUGGGUGGUAAAUUUCAUCUAAAGCUAAAUAUUGGCGAGAGACCGAUAGCGAACAAGUACCGUGAGGGAAAGAUGAAAAGAACUUUGAAAAGAGAGUUAAACAGUACGUGAAAUUGUCAAAAGGGAAGCGUUUGACACCAGUGUUGUUUUCUCGAAAAUCAAUUAAAAAGUAUUGGAUUUUGUAUUGUCAAGACCUUAUCAGCUUACGGUACUUUUUUCUUGCUCUUUUUAAUGCACUUUUCGUUUCACAAGUCAACAUCAAUUUCUUUUGUUGUAAAAGAGUCAUUGGAAGGUGGCUUUCACUUCGGUGAAAGUGUUUAUAGCCUUUGGCUUCUAGCAAUCGGAGAGAUUGAGGUCUGCAGCGUAGAUCCUUCGGGGUUAGAUACGUAGAUGCUAAGUUAUAGUUUUUCAUAGACAACUUGUUGACUAUGAUUAAUCAUGUAGCUUACUCGUUUGACGCUAUUUUACCUACGCUUAGGAUGUUGAAUCUGUGCGAGACUAC
rnacentral:rRNA from 1 species